GGGGGUAAGAGGUUCGACUCGAGCGUAGCGAGAGAACGUUGCGUCAGCAACGGCCCGCGGGGCGAGCCACGUAGUGGCGAGUAAUCCUCUAUCACCGACCA
rnacentral:sRNA from 1 species